ACCAAUUCUAGAGGAUUAUUGGUUCCUCCUGAUGUAAUGGCUCGGACGCUACAUUGACCUAUGUGGCCAUCCUGAUCAAUGGAUACUCAAUGCCAUUUGGAUCCUGGAAACACCCCAUACAUUU
rnacentral:snoRNA from 2 species